rnacentral:rRNA from 1 species
UUGUGAAUAUUGCACAAUUGGCGCAAGCCUGAUGCAGCGACGCCGCGUGUGGUAUGACGGCCUUCGGGUUGUAAACUCCUUUCGCUAGGUACGAAGCUUUUUGUUACUUUACCUAGAUAAGAAGCACCGGCUAACUACUUGCCAGCAGCCUCGGUAAUACGUAGGGUGCUAGCGUUGUCCGGAAUUACUGGUCGUCAAGGGCUCGUAGGUGGUUUGUCGCGUCGUCUGUGAAAUUCCGGGGCUUAACUCCGGGCGUGCAGGCGAUACGGGCAUAACUUGAGUACUGUAGGGGUAACUGUAAUUCCGGGUGUAGCGGUGGAAUGCGCAGAUAUCAGGAGGAACACCUAUGGCGAAGGCAGGUUACUGAGCAGUUACUAACGCUGAGGAGCGAAAGCAUGGGUAGCGAACAGG